UAGGGAAUAUUGGACAAUGGGUGAGAGCCUGAUCCAGCCAUGCCGCGUGCAGGAAGAAGGCCUUCUGGGUUGUAACCUGCUUUUGCCAGGUGAUAAAACGACCUUGCGAGGUUAAUUGAAGGUACCUGGUGAAUAAGCCACGGCUAACUACGUGCCAGCAGCCGCGGUAAUACGUAGGUGGCAAGCGUUGUCCGGAUUUAUUGGGUUUAAAGGGUGCGUAGGCGGUCCUAUAAGUCAGUGGUGAAAUACAGCCGCUUAACGGUUGAGGUGCCAUUGAUACUGUUGGACUUGAGUACAGACGAGGUAGGCGGAAUUGACGGUGUAGCGGUGAAAUGCAUAGAUAUCGUCAAGAACACCGAUAGCGAAGGCAGCUUACUAGACUGUAACUGACGCUGAGGCACGAAAGUGUGGGGAUCAAACAGG
rnacentral:rRNA from 1 species